GGUGAAAAGCACCCCGGAAGGGGAGUGAAAUAGAACCUGAAACCGUGUGCUUACAAGUAGUCAGAGCCCGUUAAUGGGUGAUGGCGUGCCUUUUGUAGAAUGAACCGGCGAGUUACGAUUUGAUGCAAGGUUAAGCAGUAAAUGUGGAGCCGUAGCGAAAGCGAGUCUGAAUAGGGCGUUUAGUAUUUGGUCGUAGACCCGAAACCAGGUGAUCUACCCUUGGUCAGGUUGAAGUUCAGGUAACACUGAAUGGAGGACCGAACCGACUUACGUUGAAAAGUGAGCGGAUGAACUGAGGGUAGCGGAGAAAUUCCAAUCGAACCUGGAGAUAGCUGGUUCUCUCCGAAAUAGCUUUAGGGCUAGCCUCAAGUGAUGAUUAUUGGAGGUAGAGCACUGUUUGGACGAGGGGCCCCUCUCGGGUUACCGAAUUCAGACAAACUCCGAAUGCCAAUUAAUUUAACUUGGGAGUCAGAACAUGGGUGAUAAGGUCCGUGUUCGAAAGGGAAACAGCCCAGACCACCAGCUAAGGUCCCAAAAUAUAUGUUAAGUGGAAAAGGAUGUGGCGUUGCCCAGACAACUAGGAUGUUGGCUUAGAAGCAGCCAUCAUUUAAAGAGUGCGUAAUAGCUCACUAGUCGAGUGACACUGCGCCGAAAAUGUACCGGGGCUAAACAUAUUACCGAAGCUGUGGAUUGUCCUUUGGACAAUGGUAGGAGAGCGUUCUAAGGGCGUUGAAGCAUGAUCGUAAGGACAUGUGGAGCGCUUAGAAGUGAGAAUGCCGGUGUGAGUAGCGAAAGACGGGUGAGAAUCCCGUCCACCGAUUGACUAAGGUUUCCAGAGGAAGGCUCGUCCGCUCUGGGUUAGUCGGGUCCUAAGCUGAGGCCGACAGGCGUAGGCGAUGGAUAACAGGUUGAUAUUCCUGUACCACCUAUAAUCGUUUUAAUCGAUGGGGGGACGCAGUAGGAUAGGCGAAGCGUGCGAUUGGAUUGCACGUCUAAGCAGUAAGGCUGAGUAUUAGGCAAAUCCGGUACUCAUUAAGGCUGAGCUGUGAUGGGGAGAAGACAUUGUGUCUUCGAGUCGUUGAUUUCACACUGCCGAGAAAAGCCUCUAGAUAGAAAAUAGGUGCCCGUACCGCAAACCGACACAGGUAGUCAAGAUGAGAAUUCUAAGGUGAGCGAGCGAACUCUCGUUAAGGAACUCGGCAAAAUGACCCCGUAACUUCGGGAGAAGGGGUGCUCUUUAGGGUUAACGCCCAGAAGAGCCGCAGUGAAUAGGCCCAAGCGACUGUUUAUCAAAAACACAGGUCUCUGCUAAACCGUAAGGUGAUGUAUAGGGGCUGACGCCUGCCCGGUGCUGGAAGGUUAAGAGGAGUGGUUAGCUUCUGCGAAGCUACGAAUCGAAGCCCCAGUAAACGGCGGCCGUAACUAUAACGGUCCUAAGGUAGCGAAAUUCCUUGUCGGGUAAGUUCCGACCCGCACGAAAGGCGUAACGAUUUGGGCACUGUCUCAACGAGAGACUCGGUGAAAUCAUAGUACCUGUGAAGAUGCAGGUUACCCGCGACAGGACGGAAAGACCCCGUGGAGCUUUACUGUAGCCUGAUAUUGAAAUUCGGCACAGCUUGUACAGGAUAGGUAGGAGCCUUUGAAACGUGAGCGCUAGCUUACGUGGAGGCGCUGGUGGGAUACUACCCUAGCUGUGUUGGCUUUCUAACCCGCACCACUUAUCGUGGUGGGAGACAGUGUCAGGCGGGCAGUUUGACUGGGGCGGUCGCCUCCUAAAAGGUAACGGAGGCGCUCAAAGGUUCCCUCAGAAUGGUUGGAAAUCAUUCAUAGAGUGUAAAGGCAUAAGGGAGCUUGACUGCGAGACCUACAAGUCGAGCAGGGUCGAAAGACGGACUUAGUGAUCCGGUGGUUCCGCAUGGAAGGGCCAUCGCUCAACGGAUAAAAGCUACCCCGGGGAUAACAGGCUUAUCUCCCCCAAGAGUUCACAUCGACGGGGAGGUUUGGCACCUCGAUGUCGGCUCAUCGCAUCCUGGGGCUGUAGUCGGUCCCAAGGGUUGGGCUGUUCGCCCAUUAAAGCGGUACGCGAGCUGGGUUCAGAACGUCGUGAGACAGUUCGGUCCCUAUCCGUCGUGGGCGUAGGAAAUUUGAGAGGAGCUGUCCUUAGUACGAGAGGACCGGGAUGGACAUACCUCUGGUGUACCAGUUGUCGUGCCAACGGCAUAGCUGGGUAGCUAUGUGUGGACGGGAUAAGUGCU
rnacentral:rRNA from 1 species